rnacentral:rRNA from 1 species
ACACAUGCAAGUCGAGGGGCAGCAUGGUCUUAGCUUGCUAAGGCCGGUGGCGACCGGCGCACGGGUGAGUAACACGUAUCCAACCUGCCGUCUACUCUUGGACAGCCUUCUGAAAGGAAGAUUAAUACAAGAUGGCAUCAUGAGUCCGCAUGUUCACAUGAUUAAAGGUAUUCCGGUAGACGAUGGGGAUGCGUUCCAUUAGAUAGUAGGCGGGGUAACGGCCCACCUAGUCUUCGAUGGAUAGGGGUUCUGAGAGGAAGGUCCCCCACAUUGGAACUGAGACACGGUCCAAACUCCUACGGGAGGCAGCAGUGAGGAAUAUUGGUCAAUGGGCGAGAGCCUGAACCAGCCAAGUAGCGUGAAGGAUGACUGCCCUAUGGGUUGUAAACUUCUUUUAUAAAGGAAUAAAGUCGGGUAUGGAUACCCGUUUGCAUGUACUUUAUGAAUAAGGAUCGGCUAACUCCGUGCCAGCAGCCGCGGUAAUACGGAGGAUCCGAGCGUUAUCCGGAUUUAUUGGGUUUAAAGGGAGCGUAGAUGGAUGUUUAAGUCAGUUGUGAAAGUUUGCGGCUCAACCGUAAAAUUGCAGUUGAUA